rnacentral:tRNA from 1 species
GCCUGGCUAGCUCAGUCGGUAGAGCAUGAGACUCUUAAUCUCUCGCAUGAGAAUCUUAAUCAGGGUCGGGGGUUCGAGCCCCCCGUUUGGCG